rnacentral:RNase_P_RNA from 1 species
UCAGUCGGUCGGGCAGCCGCGCCGUCAUAGGCCGAAAGGCGGCAGGUGAGGAAAGUCCGGGCUCCAUGGAAACACGAUGCCGGGUAACGCCCGGCGGGGUAACCCCAGGAAAGUGCCACAGAAAGCAGACCGCCCCGUCUUUCGUACCGUUUCGACCAAACGGCAGGGAUGACGGGGUAAGGGUGAAAGGGUGGGUAGAGCCCACCGCGCCGGCAGCAAUGCAGGCGGCACGGUAAACCCCAUCGGGAGCAAAACCGAAUAGGGACGGCGCGUCGGCUCGAAAGGGCUGGCAAUCGGUUUCCGGAUCAGCCGUCCGGGUGGGUUGCAAGAGGCGGGUGGCGACAUCCGUCCCAGAUGAAUGGCUGCCACGCCGGGCGUAAGCCCGGCCAUACAGAACCCGGCUUACAGACCGGCUGACAAU